CAGCACGGGGGCAACCCUGGUGGCGAGUGGCGAACGGGUGAGUAAUACAUCGGAACGUGUCCUGUAGUGGGGGAUAGCCCGGCGAAAGCCGGAUUAAUACCGCAUACGCUCUACGGAGGAAAGGGGGGGAUCUUAGGACCUCCCGCUACAGGGGCGGCCGAUGGCAGAUUAGCUAGUUGGUGGGGUAAAGGCCUACCAAGGCGACGAUCUGUAGCUGGUCUGAGAGGACGACCAGCCACACUGGGACUGAGACACGGCCCAGACUCCUACGGGAGGCAGCAGUGGGGAAUUUUGGACAAUGGGGGCAACCCUGAUCCAGCAAUGCCGCGUGUGUGAAGAAGGCCUUCGGGUUGUAAAGCACUUUUGUCCGGAAAGAAAACGCCGUGGUUAAUACCCGUGGCGGAUGACGGUACCGGAAGAAUAAGCACCGGCUAACUACGUGCCAGCAGCCGCGGUAAUACGUAGGGUGCAAGCGUUAAUCGGAAUUACUGGGCGUAAAGCGUGCGCAGGCGGUCCGCUAAGACAGAUGUGAAAUCCCCGGGCUUAACCUGGGAACUGCAUUUGUGACUGGCGGGCUAGAGUAUGGCAGAGGGGGGUAGUAUUCCACGUGU
rnacentral:rRNA from 1 species